AAAAGGGUUUUGUUGGUCUGCGGAAAAUGUAAGAAAACAGACCUUGAAAAAGUCCCUCUGAUGAAGUCGACGUGCAUGACUUGUCUGAUAAUAACUUGGAAUCAUAACAAGCAGCAAGUGCAUAAUGAAUUUUCUAGUUGCUCGGAUAUCCUUUACUUUUUAAUACAUUGCAUUUAUAUAUAUAUAUAUAAUAUAUGUACAUGUAUAUGUGUACACAUAUGUUUAACAGACAGACAAGCUCGGGACGUCAGCAGACUUGGUGAGUCAUAGGUCAGAGAAGGGAAGAAAACAAAAGAUUUAAAAAAACUUGGGAACGGUUUACUGGUGAGCAUUAUGAUGUUAAUGUAAAUAUAUAUAACCAACAAGGAAAACGUUGGGGUAAAAUGUUGGCAAGGCGCUUUGAGGUCUUCAGGUCAGGAUGUUUUUAACAUUAGGAUAAAAAAAGUAUAAACUUUUUAAUCGGAGACUGCGGAUCUAGAUCCCGAUCUCCAGACAGUCAUGACGGAGUAAUGAAGCAGAUCCUCUGGCUUUGCUUUUAUAUUACUCAGAGAUAUUGUCCGACAAGAUACAUAUAUAUGCGUGCCAGAGUCCACAUACGGAAAUCAGGGUCGCGUGACCGUAGACCCUGACCGCUGGAAGCCAAUGCCAUGUGAUUCUCGUGACUUUAUGCACUGGAGUUUGUCCUUCGUGAUGGUAUAUAUGUAUAAAUGCUGGAGAAUCUCCGAGGAUAAUUUACAAACUAAAUGCUAAUGGCUUUUGAGAUUUUUAAAAAUAAAAAAAAGUACGCGAAUUUCUUCUCGACGAAAUUUAAUGACCGAAUUUCAGCCGUAAAGAAAUUUAAUUUAAUUUUUUUACUUUAGUCCUGGAGAAGGACAUCGAGUUUUGAGGUAAAAAUCGUUUGAAUGUCUGUAGGACAAGCAAUAAAAAUACUGGUUUGAUUUUUAUUAGUACGAGUUUAGAAUGUCUGGGUAUUAAAAGAAAUCCAAUCUUUGGAGUAUAAGUAAAAAAGCGGCUGCGACGUCGCCGGAUAAAUUAGUAAGUGAAUAGAAAUUUAAAUAACAAUAUUUUAAUUUAAAUGCCUGUACACUAAAGAAUGUCAUUGUCGGAGAGAUAUAAUCUUGUCUUUGGUGUCUUUGAGGAAACCAAGAGAUUUUUCAUGUCAGUAGAGCGGACGAACGAAAAAGUUUGUCGGAAUAAAUGAGAGGCUUUGACUGUCGUAUGAACAAAAAAUAUGUAAUAAUAAUAAAACAAGUGUGUAUGUAGUGGGUACUGUAAAAAAAUGAAAAUGCUUUAAAUCACCCGUGGGAAUGUUUCUGGCACCGAAAAUUAUUUCACAUGUCUUGGAGGAAUUACGCUAGAGGAUAUUCAUCGUGACUUGGCACGCAAAUCUAUCGUUUGCGUAAAGUGAGAAAAGUUAAUUCACGAAACCGAGUGAUGGAGGGCAAGAACUCAAACCGGCCGAAGAAAUAUUAAAUUUAAGUAUACAUUUGUGUUAAAAAAAAGUCAACAAUCUCUCAACACCAAUUUCUCCAAAGCAAACUUUAUGUUAAACUCAAAAUUUAAUAUAAAUAAAUUUAAAAUCUUGUUGAAAGUAAUAAAUAUAUCCGGAAUUACUUGUGACGCUACUUUAAAUUCCUGUGAAAGGUCAUCAUCAUCUUGAUCGUCGUCAUCAUCAUCUUGAUCGUCGUCAUCAUCACCACAGCCACAAUCAUACAUAUGAACUUGUCGUAUAAUCUCACGCUUUUGAAGACAGCUAUACUCUGAUGAGAAAAAAAAAUAAAGUAAAACUCAUGCAUACGUUCAUUUCAUGGUGUAAUUUAUAGAACAAUCAUACAGGAGACUGGAUGUAUGUCUCCACCUCUUCAUUCAGACAACUACAUUAAACAAUAACAACAAUAAUGAUAAUGACAACAUCAACAACAGCAGCAGCAGCAGAAAGAAGAAAUGAUGCAAUGAAAAUUAUGCAAGUGCGUGAUACUGCUUUCUCAAUUUAUAGUUUUUCAAUAUAUGUAACAUUUUAAUGAUACAUUAUUUUACGAAAAUCGUUACGCUGAAAAAACUUAUUACUGAUAUUAAAAUAAUAUCACAUCUGCAAAAGUUUAAUGCAACAUUUGUAAAAAUUUCGUAUCCGUUUUUGCGCAAGCUCAAAUUUAUCGUAAGUCGGGUGUUUUCGGGGUUUACUCCCACUCUGGAUUAAAUUUUCUCCCACUUUUCCUAGCGCAUGCGCGCAGUAAAUAAAUAAUCGGUAGUGGGGGACUUCCAAAGUUCAUUCUCUCUUGGGAUCAAGUUUAGUCAACUCAC